AGCAAGGACCAAGUACAGAGAGCACAAUAAUCCCAAAUAAACAGUUCGAGGGGAGGUCACAGGGGCUUACAUGUCUUUACACUAAUGCUCAGAGAAUGGGAAAUAAGCAAGACGAACUCCAACUCCUAGCACAGCACCACACAUACGAUGUCAUAGGCAUCACUGAAACCUGGUGGGAUGACUCCCAUCACUGGAAUUUAACCAUUGAGGGCUAUAACCUCUUUCACAGAAAUAGAACAAAGGGGAGAGGAGGGGGAGUAGCUUUAUAUGUCAAAAACAGUUACGUUGCAGAAGAAAUGCAAGACUGUAAUCCGGGAAACCAGCUUGAAAGCAUCUGGAUAAGAAUCAAGGGAACCGGGACUCAAAAAGAUAUUGUCGUGGGUGUCUACUACAGACCGCCGAGUCAGGAUGAAGGACUUGAUGAAGCCUUCUGUCAACAGCUGACCAAACAGGCACAAAGAAGAGAUAUAGUAGUCAUGGGCGAUUUCAAUUAUCCCGAUAUCUGCUGGAAAACAAACUCAGCCAAGAGUACAAAGUCCAACAAAUUCCUCACUUGCCUUGCAGAUAAUUUUAUGGUCCAGAAGGUAGAAGAGGCAACAAGGGGAUCCGCAACUCUUGAUCUAAUCUUAACAAAUGUGGAAGACCUGAUUCAGCAUUCCUUUGUAUUGCAAACUGCAGGAGCACAUGGUCACUUGCCCCUAAGGAUCCAUCCACUUCAACUGUAUUGAUCAGGUCUUCCACAUUUGUUAAGAUUAGAUCAAGAGUUGCUGAUCCCCUUGUUGCCUCUUCUACCUUCUGGACCAUAAAAUUAUCUGCAAGGCAAGUGAGGAAUUUGUUGGACUUUGUACUCUUGGCUGAGUUUGUUUUCCAGCAGAUAUCGGGAUAAUUGAAAUCGCCCGUGACUACUAUAUCUCUUCUUUGUGCCUGUUUGGUCAGCCGUUGACAGAAGGCUUCAUCAAGUCCUUCAUCCUGACUCGGAGGUCUGUAGUAGACACCCACGACAAGAUCGUUUUGAGUCCCGGUUCCCUUAAUUCUUAUCUUUCAAGCUGGUUUCCCGGAUUACAGUCUUGCAUUUCUUCUGCAACGUAACUGUUUUUGACAUAUAAAGCUACUCCCCCUCCUCUCCCCUUUGUUCUAUUUCUGUGAAAGAGGUUAUAGCCUUCAAUGGUUAAAUUCCAGUGAUGGGAGUCAUCCCACCAGGUUUCAGUGAUGCCUAAUAAUAAUAAUAAUAAUAAUAAUAAUAAUAAUAAUAAUAAUAAAAAGCUUGAUUCCCUCAUUUUGUACAGGGAGCCUACACUCCUUUGGCCCCCUUGUGCUUGCGUUCCAUGGGAACCCCCUAUUUCAUCAUCCAGAU
rnacentral:lncRNA from 1 species